UACGAAGGGGGGCUAGCGUUGCUCGGAAUUACUGGGCGUAAAGCGCACGUAGGCGGAUUGUUAAGUCGGGGGUGAAAUCCUGGAGCUCAACUCCAGAACUGCCUUUGAUACUGGAAGACUCGAGUCCGGGAGAGGUGAGUGGAACUGCGAGUGUAGAGGUGAAAUUCGUAGAUAUUCGGAAGAACACCAGUGGCGAAGGCGGCUCACUGGACUGGUAUUGACGCUGAGGUGCGAAAGCGUGGGGGAGCAAACAG
rnacentral:rRNA from 1 species